rfam:Schistosoma curassoni strain Dakar, Senegal genome assembly, scaffold: SCTD_scaffold0003521
AUCCAGCUGACGAGUCCUAAAUAGGGCGGAACACGCGUCCUGGAU